rnacentral:misc_RNA from 1 species
GUCUAAUUAAUCGAGCUUUUAAUUCAAAAAUCGUAAAUCCAUUUUGUGACGAAGAAUUAAAAGACUACUGCGACGAACGCGUUCCUAAAAGUAACAAAGUCCUAAAUGGCGCCAGGAAAAAAACUGCUAGAAAACAAAAAAUACCAAACGAUGCUUCACUUGAAACUUCUGCAACUGCGAGUAUUAUAUGCGAAAAGCUCAACGAAUGGGAUUUGAAACAUCCUAAAUCUUUCAGUCCACCUGGACCAGUACCUAAAAUUGAAGACAGUAUUAUGAACUACAAAAUCGACCUGUGAAGAUUUCGUUUUAAUAUUCAAGCUUUUAUUAUUUUGGUUAAAUAAAUUUUUGUGGUGCG